rnacentral:rRNA from 1 species
CAUAGGUUAAUGAGGCGAACCGGGGGAACUGAAACAUCUAAGUACCCCGAGGAAAAGAAAUCAACCGAGAUUCCCCCAGUAGCGGCGAGCGAACGGGGAGCAGCCCAGAGCCUGAAUCAGUGUGUGUGUUAGUGGAAGCGUCUGGAAAGGCGCGCGAUACAGGGUGACAGCCCCGUACACAAAAAUGCACAUGCUGUGAGCUCGAUGAGUAGGGCGGGACACGUGGUAUCCUGUCUGAAUAUGGGGGGACCAUCCUCCAAGGCUAAAUACUCCUGACUGACCGAUAGUGAACCAGUACCGUGAGGGAAAGGCGAAAAGAACCCCGGCGAGGGGAGUGAAAAAGAACCUGAAACCGUGUACGUACAAGCAGUGGGAGCACGCUUAGGCGUGUGACUGCGUACCUUUUGUAUAAUGGGUCAGCGACUUAUAUUCUGUAGCAAGGUUAACCGAAUAGGGGAGCCGAAGGGAAACCGAGUCUUAACUGGGCGUUAAGUUGCAGGGUAUAGACCCGAAACCCGGUGAUCUAGCCAUGGGCAGGUUGAAGGUUGGGUAACACUAACUGGAGGACCGAACCGACUAAUGUUGAAAAAUUAGCGGAUGACUUGUGGCUGGGGGUGAAAGGCCAAUCAAACCGGGAGAUAGCUGGUUCUCCCCGAAAGCUAUUUAGGUAGCGCCUCGUGAAUUCAUCUCCGGGGGUAGAGCACUGUUUCGGCAAGGGGGUCAUCCCGACUUACCAACCCGAUGCAAACUGCGAAUACCGGAGAAUGUUAUCACGGGAGACACACGGCGGGUGCUAACGUCCGUCGUGAAGAGGGAAACAACCCAGACCGCCAGCUAAGGUCCCAAAGUCAUGGUUAAGUGGGAAACGAUGUGGGAAGGCCCAGACAGCCAGGAUGUUGGCUUAGAAGCAGCCAUCAUUUAAAGAAAGCGUAAUAGCUCACUGGUCGAGUCGGCCUGCGCGGAAGAUGUAACGGGGCUAAACCAUGCACCGAAGCUGCGGCAGCGACACUAUGUGUUGUUGGGUAGGGGAGCGUUCUGUAAGCCUGUGAAGGUGUGCUGUGAGGCAUGCUGGAGGUAUCAGAAGUGCGAAUGCUGACAUAAGUAACGAUAAAGCGGGUGAAAAGCCCGCUCGCCGGAAGACCAAGGGUUCCUGUCCAACGUUAAUCGGGGCAGGGUGAGUCGACCCCUAAGGCGAGGCCGAAAGGCGUAGUCGAUGGGAAACAGGUUAAUAUUCCUGUACUUGGUGUUACUGCGAAGGGGGGACGGAGAAGGCUAUGUUGGCCGGGCGACGGUUGUCCCGGUUUAAGCGUGUAGGCUGGUUUUCCAGGCAAAUCCGGAAAAUCAAGGCUGAGGCGUGAUGACGAGGCACUACGGUGCUGAAGCAACAAAUGCCCUGCUUCCAGGAAAAGCCUCUAAGCAUCAGGUAACAUCAAAUCGUACCCCAAACCGACACAGGUGGUCAGGUAGAGAAUACCAAGGCGCUUGAGAGAACUCGGGUGAAGGAACUAGGCAAAAUGGUGCCGUAACUUCGGGAGAA